UCGGAAAAGUUCGUAAGAGUGCACAAGGAUGUUGAUUUUGGACUCUUUCACUCGGCUAGUGCCUUCAUGAGUGAUCUCAAGAGUUCUCCAAAUAUCAAAAGCCGAAUCACACAUUGAAACACGAUUAAAUUCGUUUUUGUCUAGUGCACAAAACAAGGCAUUCAUAGCCUUUGCAUUUAAAGCAAAAAUCUUCUUCUCCGAUUCAUUCCAUUCGCUCAUCGGAAGAGAAGAUUUUUUAAAUCCAUUCUCGACAAUAGACCAAAGCUCAAAGUCCAUAGAAAUAAGGAAGAU
rnacentral:lncRNA from 1 species